UACGAAGGGGGCUAGCGUUGUUCGGAAUCACUGGGCGUAAAGCGCACGUAGGCGGACUUUUAAGUCAGGGGUGAAAUCCCAAGGCUCAACCUUGGAACUGCCUUUGAUACUGGAAGUCUUGAGUUCGGGAGAGGUGAGUGGAACUGCGAGUGCAGAGGUGAAAUUCGUAGAUAUUCGCAAGAACACCAGUGGCGAAGGCGGCUCACUGGCCCGAUACUGACGCUGAGGUGCGAAAGCGUGGGGAGCAAACAGG
rnacentral:rRNA from 1 species